GGCAUUUAUUUAAACACAACAGUUAGUUUGAGAAUGAUUAUUAACUCUUGUUUGAGAAAAGGAAGAUCUAAUGAAGAAGACAUGCAAGUAUUGAAAAGCGAGAUCACAAAUUUGUUUAAGAAACAACAUUAUAGAAAGAAUUAAAAGAUGUAAAUGAGAAGAUGAUUAGCGUCAAGAAUCAUGACAAUAGACUACAAGAAGGGUGUUUUUUGCAGUUAUGAGAUCUUGUGGUUUUAUAUACGGAGUAUUUAUGAGAUCUUGGAUUUUCAUUUGUUAGAUUCGCGUUUCAGAUAAUUGUGUGUAAUAUUUAAUCUUAGAUUGAUUUGUUUACAUUAAAUUUUGGAUGAAAUUCUAUUAGUCAUGAUGUACAUAAAUAACGUUUAGCCGAAUUAAUGAAGUUUUUUCCAUCUUAA